GACGAACGCUGGCGGCGUGCUUAACACAUGCAAGUCGAACGGUAAGGCCCUUCGGGGUACACGAGUGGCGAACGGGUGAGUAACACGUGGGUGAUCUGCCCUGCACUUCGGGAUAAGCCUGGGAAACUGGGUCUAAUACCGGAUAGGACCACUGCCUGCAUGGGUGGUGGUGGAAAGCUUUUGCGGUGUGGGAUGGGCCCGCGGCCUAUCAGCUUGUUGGUGGGGUGAUGGCCUACCAAGGCGACGACGGGUAGCCGGCCUGAGAGGGUGACCGGCCACACUGGGACUGAGAUACUGCUCAGACUCCUACGGGAGGCAGCAGUGGGGAAUAUUGCACAAUGGGCGCAAGCCUGAUGCAGCGACGCCGCGUGAGGGAUGACGGCCUUCGGGUUGUAAACCUCUUUCAGCUAUGACGAAGCGCAAGUGACGGUAGUAGCAGAAGAAGGACCGGCCAACUACGUGCCAGCCGCCGCAGUAA
rnacentral:rRNA from 1 species